AUUGAACGCUGGCGGCAUGCCUUACACAUGCAAGUCGAACGGCAGCACGGGAGCAAUCCUGGUGGCGAGUGGCGAACGGGUGAGUAAUAUAUCGGAACGUGCCCAGUCGUGGGGGAUAACGUAGCGAAAGCUACGCUAAUACCGCAUACGAUCUAUGGAUGAAAGCGGGGGAUGGCAAGACCUCGCGCGAUUGGAGCGGCCGAUAUCAGAUUAGGUAGUUGGUGGGGUAAAGGCUCACCAAGCCGACGAUCUGUAGCUGGUCUGAGAGGACGACAAGCCACACUGGGACUGGGACACGGCCCAGACUCCUACGGGAGGCAGCAGUGGGGAAGUUGGGACAAUGGGCGCAAGCCUGAUCCAGCAAUGCCGCGUGCAGGAUGAAGGCCUUCGGGUUGUAAACUGCUUUGGUACGGAGCGAAAAGGCUUCCACUAAUACUGGGGGCUCAUGACGGUACCGUAAGAAUAAGCACCGGCUAACUACGUGCCAGCCGCCGCCGUAACAC
rnacentral:rRNA from 1 species